CUCCCACCCUCCCCUUCCUCCGUAUCUUCGACCCUCGUAUGGUUUAUACUUUCUUGCGUCGUUUAUGUCGUUAUUUUCGUAUGGUUUAUAGUUUGUCUUUUAAUCCAAUUGCUGAAUAAUUAGGGAUUUGAUAGAUUUCUGAUUUUCGAAUUCUCCGUAAUAUAUCGGCUGAGUUAUUGACUGUUGCCUGCUUUCUAGGCUUCUUUCGGAUUGAUCGGUGUAAUAUUUGCGCAAUUUUUUGAGACGGGGGCUGUUAAUUCAAUUGCUGAAGAAUAAUUAGGGGUUGUAAUUAAUUUUGAAUUAGGGGUUUGAAUUCAUGUUUAUGUUCUUGCGCUGCUCUAUAAGGUUUCUAAUUGGUUGAUAAUUUCUGAUCGGAGGGCUGUUUGUUUAAUGCGAUUGCUAAACUAUUAGGGUUUGAUUGGAUUUCUGAAGUUCGAAUUCUCCGAAAUUUAUAGGCUGGUUUAUUGAUCGUUGCUGCUUUCUUGGCUUCUUUCCGAUUGAUCGGUGUAAUAAUUACGCAAUUUUUAAGACGGUGGAUGUUAAUUCAAUUGCUGAAGUUUGAGGGUUUUAAUCAAUUUUGAAUUAGGGGCUUGAAGUAUAAUUGCCGAAUUUCAUAUUUAUGUUCUUGCACUAAUCUAUAAGGUUUCUGAUUGGUUGAUAAUUUCUGAUCGGAGGGCUAUUUGUUUAAUUCGAUUGCUGAAUGAUUAAGGUUUGAUUGAAUUUCUGAAAUUCAUAUUCUCCGAAAAUUUAUCGGCUGAUUUAUUGAUUGUUGCUGCUUUCUAGGCUUCUUUCGGAUUGAUCGGUGUAGUAUCUGCGCAACUUUUGAGAUGGAGGCUGUUAAUUCAAUUGCUGAAAAAUUAAUCGUUUUUCCCUAGUUUAUGAUGGUUUUAUUCAGUUUUGAUUAUCGAUUCAAUUUGAAGUAUAAUUGAAGGAUUUAGUUCUGAUUCAAUUGCUAGAACUAGAAGAUGCUUUUUAGCUUGAUUUGUGAUUGAGCAUGACAGUUCUUUGUUGGCGGUUGAAUAGUGAUCAAGUAUGUCAUUUGUUGAUUUGGAUGCGGGUUACAAUUUGAUUAAAUAGUCCGUGUUUGAUUUUGGUAGAUUUUGAUGAUUAUGGAGUUGCUUCGGUUUAAGGUUCCUGUCAGACUUUGAUGAUUAUGUAGUUGCUUCGCUUAAAGGUUCGUGUUAGAUUUUGUUGAUUAUGCAGUUGCUUCGCCUAAAGGUUCGUGUUAGAUUUUGAAGAUUAUGCAGCUGCUUUGCCAAAAGGUUUGUGCUAGAUUUUGGUUUGAUUUUUGAUGAGUAUGCAUUUGGUUGUGUGUUCGGUGAUCAAGUAGGUUGUUUGUUGAUAUGCAAUCCUCAUAAAAGUUUGUGCUUUAUGAGGAUUGUAUAGAGCUGAUAUGCAAUUUGAUUUGUCCGUUUCAAAUGCUGUUGUGUUGGUUGUAGUCCCAAAAACUCUUACAGAUUUUCAGGUGUUCCGUUUCUGUUCACUAUGAUUUUGUGUGAUUCACCUCAUGAUUCUGUGAUGAUGAAUAAGUUUGAGGAUUUGAAGAUAAAAAUUUGUUAUGAAAAAUUCAAAUCUUGUAGGCGAUGGUAUUUGGAUUAGGUGUUUAUUAAUUACGUUUAGAAUCCCUUAUUACCAAAUAAGAUCCCUCGGUGCUGUUUAUUUCAGACUUCAUACUUCUAAUUUCUUAAUAAUAUCUGCAUUAUUCAGUUGGCAACGGAAGUUUCCUUCGAUUCUCCCCUGCUUUGGUAAACUGUAAAUAUUGCUUAAUACCAUAGUUUUGAACUGUUUUUAAACGGCUUUUAUCUUGUACUCUAUCAUUUAUUUUCAUCUUUUUGUUCUGUUAUAUAUUUUUCAGUUAUACUAGCUUUUCUGAUGUUACUUAAACAUAGGUUUUAUUGAGAAUGAUGAACUUUUAACAGAAUUUCUUUAAAGUAAUUCAUAGGUCAUAUUUUCAUUUGAAACAAAAUUGUUUCCUAUCUAAUUUUCUCUUUUUGGGUUGGAUUUUGAUACAGCAAAAGACAAGAGGUCGAAAUCCAAAUAAGCUGGUUCCUUGCAAAUAGUCAUGUUUUCAUUUGAAACAAAAUUAAUUUUUUUAUUUCCUUAUUAUUUUCGCUAGCUCCUCAAAUCUUUAGUUUUUUUCAUAAAGUAAGUGCGCUUCUGAUAUUUCCAAGUAUUGUCCAGAGACCAAAGUAUGAGUAUUAAGAGUGGUUGACUACCUGAGAUUCUAUGACAUGCGGAAUUCCUGGAACUAAAUUUUGAGGUCUGAAUUCUCCAAGUAUUGGUUAAUUUAUUGAUUAUAUUUGCUGGACAAUUUGUAUUUGUUUUGUUUUUUCUGCUGCAGUUGGUGAGUAGGUUCUUUGUUGACUGCGUUCCCUAGGAAUAUUGUUAUUCGCUGAAAGGUUUUCCGUAGAUGGUUUUGAUCAGCAUACACACUUUGAUUUGUUGAUUGGGAGUUUUGUAUAGCUUUUUCCACCUCUAUUGUGGUGCUUGCAGUUCUAAGUCACUUGCAAAUUUAGGCGUUUGUUUUGUAUUUCCCCCUCCAAGUCUUCUCUUGUGUUUGCUUGUUUCGUGAACAGGUGAUGGGGGUGAUGACGAGUUAGACAAAGUUCCUCUUGAAAACCAAAUUACACAUUGUGAUAUUUAUACUUGAUUAAAUAAAUAUUUGUUCUAACAUCAGAUGGUGUGGUUGGUGUGUUUAACAAUAAAUAAUUUAAUUUUAAACAUCACUCAUUCUGAAAUAUGGACUUUGGUGUAGGAAACUCCAGUCCUAUGUUGCUAUCCAUUUCCUCCUAUUCCUGUUUUUAUCAUGGAAACUGAUUUUGUAUGUAAGUAACGCAUGCUUGUUCUUCGUGGUGGUGUCAAGUUCGUCAAAUAAUAUUAAUUAUCAACUUAUCAGUAUAAUGUUCUCCAUCCCUAUGUGAUUAGCAGGGUUACUAAGUUCAGUGGUAUGUUACUUCUCAUAAUUUCUUUCUUGCUUGUGUUGGAGAUUACAGUAAAUGAUUUCCACUCUCUCUGAGUCAUGUGUGGUAUUGCGUUUCUUUCUCCCAAGGCUUGUGUUAUGUUAGAAACUUCAUUUGCUGUUAUUCUUUUUUGGGUCUAUUUCUAGCCUAAGCUUCCCGGUAGUUUUUGGCCCCAUUGUUGGUAAUUUGUUUUUUAAUUUUUAUAUUUCUAUUUUGACUUGUGGGAUUAUAGCUUUGUGCUUGAGGUGAGGGUGUAGGGAUGUAAGUGUUCUCAUCCAGGUAACAUUUUCUUUAGAACCAGUAUAUAUUUGCAGACUACUGACAUGUGAUCUUGUGGCUUACUCGUAAGAAUUUUUUAUUGGUGAUUUUUGAAUUUGUUGUUUUCCUAUGAUUUGACUUCUUGAUAUGGUCUGCAAUUGGUGACUGGGGAUGAAAGAUUUUCUGGUUUGUUUCUCUUGCAGACAACAUUAUUUGGUAGUUCUCAUGGUCUUAGGAUCACAGUUUGAGGUUAGAAUCUUUUUGUCCACGGAGACCCCUUCAUCCUUUCAAUCAACAAUAUCUUUUCCCUUUGAAUUCGCAUUAUAUUGAUGUGGACAAGGUUUAUCACAUCUAUGGGGUAGAGGAAGUUUCGUAUUUUUUUUUCCCCGAAGAAAGCAACACUUGCUUAAGCCUCGGGGUAGUGUAAAUGUAUUUCUUUAUUUGAAAGGCAAUCUAAUCUACGUUUUCGUUCUAUACUAUUGUUACUACUGUGCCUUAGGUGCUAAGCGGUGGCAGCUGCAGGGGGCUGAUUUUUCUGAUUCAUUUGUUUUUUCUCCUACGUAAUCUUCUCUGUUUUUCUGUUGGCAAGUGUUGCGGACUUGCGGUAGUUAUCAUCUCCAUUGUGGUAGCAUGCUUGCUGGAAAAUGAUUGGUUUCUGAUAGUAUUUCAGAGUAAGUAUUGUUUCCUUAAAGGCUAGUGUGGCAGUAUGAGUUCUGUUUCUUAAUAAUUACUCCGUAAGUCCGUGGGUGAAUUUUUAGCUUCAGCUUCCUGGGUAUGUGUACUUUCCUUUUUCCUUUUGUGAUGAGUGUUGAUCGUUUAUUUUUUUGGUACACUUAGAACCACAGUCUGUUCUUUUUUUUUCUUAUUCCAUGGGCCCCUUCAUCUUUCCUAUCAACAACUGCUUCGCCGUCGAAAUCGCACAUUGGUGGCAGAUAAUAUCUAUUGAUCUAAGGGAGUUUUAUACCUGUUCCUUCUAACACUUCCCCAGAUUUUAAGUGCAAACAUCCUUUGGCCAUGAAUUGUUCUGUAGGUAAACAGACAACUACUUCUUUAUUGGACUUCGUGUUGAUUAAAGGACAUUAUGUUGAUCCACCUGCUGGAUUUCUUGGAGGAACAUUAAGGUUUGGUUGGUUUGUGCACUUUCUGCAUGACUUGCUGACUUAAUUGCUGAUAAAUAUUUGGCCUUCUUGGGAGCGAAGUUCUUUCUGUUUGUUGUUUCGACUGUUGUGGCGCUUAACUUUUGCAGAUUUAUGGUGUUCUCUUCCUUCCACUUCUACUUCCAUUUGCUUUUGUAAAGUCAUCUCUUGAUUCAUGAUUAAGUGGUUGGUCAUAAUCAAUUAACGAUACAACAUCAGAAUAAGUUAUUAUCAAACUGCGGAAGGUCAUUUCUAUUUAAUCAAUAGACCUGUCUGUGAUGCUGUGACCUAUUCUGCAGUCUGCACACAAUUAAUUACUUGUGAGCAAUACAUGAUUUUUGCUGUAGGUUGAUAAUAGUUGUUCCCCUAAAUUGAAGGCAAUCUGGUAACUGACUGAAGCUGAUAUACGUGUAAAAUGAGCAAUUCCCUUGGAUAGUGUCAUUUGAAGAUGAAAAUUCUGACGCUGAUGAUAGUCGAAGAAUUAGGAGUUUGGUGACUUAUUGAUUAUUUUAGCUGGAGGAUUUCUUUGUUUGGUUUUCAAUGGUCAUGCAGUUGCUUCUCGGUGGUUGAUUAAUUGGUGAUCAAGUAGGUUGUUAGUUGACUCCGUUUCCGAUAACCUUAUGUCCAGAUAGGUUUUUGCUAGAUGAUUUUGAUCUGCAUAGUUGAUGGAUUUUGGAGUCCUUCUGAACAGAUGUUUGACUACUAACUCUUGCAGAUCAGGAAUUGUUUUUACUUUGUCCUCGUGAAAUUCUCUCUCUUGCAGAUUAGGAAUCGUUUUUGCUUUGUCCUCGUGAAAUUCUCUAGAUUUUAUUUACUGGUUUCAUGAUCAAGCGAGGGUGGAUUCCGACAAAGUUCCUCUUGGGAACCAAAUGACAUCGGUGACAGUGUUUUGAUAGGUUGCAAAUAGUUUAACAUUUGAUGAUGGGCCUUAAUGUUGUCAACUUCAGUGCGUUUUGUUGUUCGUAUCUUCUCCUCCUUUAUGAUCGUGGACCUUUUGCAACAAUAGGAUAUUGAUACAUCUGAAGCGGUGCAAGCUUGUGAUUUGGGAUGGGUGUUGUGAGUCGUUCUCUUUUCAUUUUUCUGAUUAGUUACCUUGACAACCAAAUUACACGGGUGAUGGUAUGUUAUUAGGUUGCAUAUAUUUCAACAUCUGAUGAUGGGCGUGGUCAGAGUUAAAACAAUUUUGAUGGUUAGAAUUUGCAGUCUAUUCUUUCUCCAGUUGUGGUUUUACUCAUUCUCAAUCUGGUACCUUGAUCCUGUCGACUUCAGUUUUUAUACAGGUUUUUUUUUGGAACUCUGACUGCAGUAUGUUGUGUUCGUAUUCUUCUCCUCCUGUUUAAUCAUGGACCUAUUUUCUUCAUGUAUAGGAAAUUGAAUUCAUGUGUAACGCAUACUUGUGAUUUGGGGAUGGUGUUGUGAAUCUUUCUAGUCAUUUUUCCGAUUAGAGGGUGAUUAGGCUGUUGCUAAUUGGUCAUCGGUAGCAUCUUUGGAGUUUCUUGCUUUAUCUGGAUUCUGGAUUUUCACAAUUGGAUUCUUACGGUGUUUGUUUACGUUCUCCUAGGCUUUUGCUGGAAUUUAUUUUCUUCAUUUUAGUAUCUUUUUUGUCAAUUUUGUAGCUGGUGGCUAGUAUUGAUCAUUUCCUUUUUACUGUUUAUGUUCUGAAGAUUUUCACUCAUCUUGUAUGGAGAUAGCUUGUGCUUCAAUGACUGAAUCAUAUGGGUCUUAUUAGAGUUGGUGAUGCAGAAUCUUGAUAAGAGUUGUCUAGAAGUGUAGAUGCAGUUUCCCAUCCUGUCCUUUCAAUCCUGAAAUCUGGGUCUUAUUAGGUUUGCUUGCCUCGUAAAGUGUUGGUGCUUGGAAACAUAUGGAUGUUGGUGGCUCGUGAUGUGUUUUGGCUGGCUUAUAAUUUUUGUUGGUUAAUUUGGCUUCGAUUAUUUUGGAACAUGUUGGUGUGGUGGUUUCUUGGAGACUGGGUGUCAAAAACUUUAUGGUUUGAUUUUAUUACAGAACUAUGCAACUUUAUGGUUCUGGUUCUUUUACACAAAAUAAAAUGAAAAUGUGAACAUCCUUAGGCUGUCUUAUUUUGUAGGUAUACAACCAGUUGCUUCUGCAUUUGACAUUCGAUCAAAAUGGUUAUCUGGAGGAGUUACGCAUCAAGAUCCAUUACAAGAAGAUUGUUUUUUAAAAAUAAAUGAUUCUGGUCUGAAGGGUGUGGGGUACUCAAGUUUUUUUAAUGCACUGGGUGAUGUGAAGAGGCAUGCCUUUCUCUCCGUUUUUUUCUUCUGCUAAGGUGCUCGACUCUUGCAGCUAGUUUCUGUUUCUAAGAGCCUUCAGUGAACGAAGCAGCUAUUAUUGGCUCUGUUCGUACAACAUUUUGAUUUGUUCAGGAUUAUUGGUACUUGAAGCGGUUGUGGUAUCAUGAGGUUUGAGUUUUGUUGUCGCAUCUUUUAGUUUCUGACAUGUGCGUAAGAAGUAGAUUAUGUUUCUAGGAUUGUUGUAUCUUGAUAAGGAUCAUUUAUGACGAAGAAAAAGUAAUAUUUUGGGUUUUACAGUUCUGUGUGCCCUCAGAGAUUUUUUUUGGGGGUGAAUACUGCUCUGUGUGCCUUCAUGUGUGACUUUUGGCUGAUGAGUGUGACAGUAGUAAUUUUUAUGAUAUAUUGUCUACGAAUGGUGGAACUUUGAUUUCAUGGACUUCCUUCUGCCGAUAUAAAAUAACUUUUGUGUCCUUUCACUUAAGGAAUUUGUGAACAAUUCGCUGCUUGGUCUUCAACAUGCCCAUCUUAUGAAACUCCGACCUUCAUUAUGACAAGUUAAUUUUGAUUUUGUGAUUCCUGAUGCUCCUUCUACUUCUUGGCUUCUUGCAAAUCAUCCCUCUUAACUUCAGGAGUUCAACUGUUCCAUGGUUAAGAUUUUGUGAAUUUUUAUGGUUCCAAGACUGUAUCUUCUCUUCGUUGUGACUUGCUGGGUGAAAUUGUUUUAGGGUUUGUUGUUGGAUUCUCUUCCUGAAUCAUUUCAUGACUUACUUCUUGCUCUCAAAAUAGAGCUAUUGGUGCACUUUGAUGCUUUUGACAUGGCUUUCACAUGGAGAUUUUUCUAACAUUUUUUGCGGUGAUUUUUUGUACAUUUGCACACUGGACCUGCAGAGUGUAGUUGGUUAUGUUUACAUAGAUUUUGGACUCCUUUUCCUUCAGAAUCUUUUUGUUUUGAACCUUUGGGAAUUUACAUUUUCUCUUCUUGGUUUAUUUAGUUAGUCAGAUAUAUUACUGACUUCACACUCUGUUGCUUAUAUGAUUUAUAAAGGUGGAAUCUCCUUGGUCGUUGCCGUUGAUUUUCUCUGCUCGGGUAAAAUUUUAUGCGAAGUUGGUUUUAUUUGCUGUGACUGCUUCUGUAAAAGAUUUCUAUUGGGAAUUGGUGUGUUGCUUGUUACAUUUCUGCUUAUUCCAGUGGGAGUCCUCCGUGCCAUGUACAAGUGUCAGCGUUGCUCAUUUAUAUGCCAACAUUUGCUAGUGUAGUGGUCUCCAAUACAUCAGGUUAAUUGUCUGGAAAAUUACGCUGGGUGAAGAGGUCUCAGGAGUUUGGUGACUUAUUGAUUAUUUUAGCUGGAGGAGUUCUUUGUUUUGUUUUUAAUGGUCAUGCAGUUGCUUUCUCGGUGAUUGAAUAAUGGGUGAUCAAGUAGCUUGUAAGUUGACUCUGUUGUCCGAUAACCUUAUUUGCAGAAAGGUUCGUGCUAGAUGAUUUUGAUCUGCAUAGUGGAUGGAUUUUGGAGUCCUUUCUGAACAGUUGUUUCGACUACUACUGUUCCUGUAGUUUACUUAAUCUCUUGCAGAUCAGAAUUCGUUUUUGCUUUGGCCUCAUGAAAUUGUCUAGAUUUUGUUUACCGGUUUCAUGAUCAAGCGAUGCUGGAUUCUGACAAAGUUCCUCUUGGAAACCAAAUGACAUCGGUGACUGUUUUGUAAGGUUGCAAAUAGGUUAACAUCUGAUGAUGGUGUAUUUAGCGUUUAAACAACUGAUGAUUUAAAUUCUUACUCAUUCUCAAUUUGAGGACUUAAUGUUGUCAACUUUAGUUUUUAUACUGGUUCCUUGUUAAUCUGCCUGCAGUGCGUUCUGUUGUUCGUAAUUUUCUCCUCCUUUUUGAUCGUGGACCUUUUGCAGCAAUAGGAUAUUGGUACAUCUUAAGCAAUGCAAACUUUUGAUUUGGGAUGGGUGUUGGUUGGUGCUCGGAAACGUAUGGAUGUUGGUGGCUCGUGAUGCGUUGUGGCUGUCUUACAAUUUUUGUUGGUUAAUUUGGCUUCUAUUGGUUUGGAACAUGAUGUGUGGGGUGGUUGCUUGGAGACUGGAUAUCAAAAACUUUAUGGUUUGAUUUUAUUGCAGAACUAUGCAGCUUUAUGGUUCUGGUUCUUUUACACAAUAAAAUCAGAAUGUGAACAUCCUUAGUCUGUCUUACUUUGUAGGUAUACAACCAGUUGCUUCUGCAUCUGACAUCAUUCGAUCAAAAUGGUUAAUGCUUCAAGAUCUACUGCAUGAAGAUUUUUUUUGUAUAAAAAGGAACAAUUCUGGUAUUAGAAUAUUUCCCUUUAUGCCUCUCAUAGAAUGUGUAUCUUGCUGUUGAUGUUCCUUACCGAACUUGUGGAAUGAAUAGCAUUUAGCACGCCGAUGCUCUUAAUUCUUUACGUCUGAAGGGUGUGGGGUACUCAAGUUUUAAUGCACUGGGUUAGAUGAAGGGGCAUCUCUUUCUCUUUUUUUUUCUUUUCUUUUACCCUAAUAACCCUUGGAGCCAUUUUAUGUACCCUGCUUCUGCUAAGGUGCUUGACUCUUGCAGCUAAUUUCUGUUACUAAGAGCCUUCAGGACUACAGGUAUGGAGCUCGGGUUUCGAUGAUGCUUUGGUUCUUGCUUUUCCUCUCCCUCCCCCCCUCUCUUGGUAGUGUAGAGAAUGUAAGUGAGCUAUUGAGCUUUGACUGGUAAAAGAUCGUCCCAAGCUCUUCGCAAGGUUAGGGUUUAAUCUACUUUUGUUUCUCUUGGCUCCAGUGAAUGAAGCAGCUAUUAUUGGCUCUAUUCUUACAACAUUUUGAUUUGUUCAGUGAUUUGUGGUAUGGGUUUGAGUUUUGUUGUUGCAUCUUUAAGUUUCUGACAUGUGUGUAAGAAGUAGAUUAUGUUUCUAGAAUUGUUGUAUCUUGACAAUGAUCAUUGAUGAGGAAGUGGGUAGGUUUUCAAGAAAAGGUUUAUUUUGGGUUUUACAGAUCUGCGUGCUCUCAGAGAUUUUUUAUUUUAUUUUUUGGGUGUACUGCUCUGUGUGUCUUCACGUGUGACUUUUGGUUGAUGAGUGUGACAUUAGUAGUUUUAUGAUAUGUUGUCUUCGAAUGGUGGAACUUUGAAUUCAUGGACUGUCUUCCGCUGAUAUAAAAUAACUUUUGUGUCCUUUCACUUACGGAAUUUGUGCACAAUUCGUAGCUUGGUCUUCAACAUGCCCAUCUUAUGAAACUCCGAGCUUCAUAUGAUAAGUUAAUUUUGAUUUUGUGAUCCCUGAAGCUCCUCCUACUUCUUGGCUUUUUGCACAUAAUCCCUCUUAAACUUCAGGGGUUCAACUGUUCCGUGGUUAAGAUUUUGUGGAUUUUGAUGGUUCCAAGAGUGUAUCUUCAGAAGUCUUCUGUUCGUUGUGACUUGUUAGAUGAAAUUGCUCUUGGAUUUUGUGGAUUUCAUGACUUACUUUUUGCUCUCAUAAUUGAGCUAUUGGUGGACUUUGAUGCUUUUUGACAUGGCUUGCAUAUGGGGAUUUUUCUAACAUUUUUUACGGUGAUUUUUUGUACAUUUGCACACCAGGCCUGCAGAGAGUGUAGUUGGUUAUUUUUACACAGAUUUUGGACUCCUUUUCCUUCAGAAUCGUUUUAUUUUGUACCUUUGGGAAUAUACAUUUUCUCUUCUUGGUUUAUUUAGUUAGUCAGAUAUAUUACUAAAGGUGGAAUCUCCUUGGUCGUUGCUGUUGAUUUUCUCUGCUCGGGUAAAUUUUUUAUCGAAGUUGGUUAUAUUUGUUGUGACUGCUUCUGUAAAAGAUUUCUAUUGGGAAUUGGUGUGUUGCUUGUUACAUUUCUGCUUAUUCUAGUGGGAGUCCUCCGGGCCAUGUACAAGUGUCAGCGUUGCUCAUUUAUAUGCCAACUUUUGCUUGUGUAGUGGUCUCCACUACAUCAGGUUAAUUGUCUGGAAUUACGCUGGGUGAAGAGGUCUCAGGAUAUAUGGUUUUUGGAUAUCAGGGAUACGUUCCAAUGGUUUGGGAUAUCAGGGAUACGUUCUAUUGUUUUUGGGGCUUUAAUGAUUCCAUGUUUACAGUGCAGAUAUAUUUGACAUAUGUUAUCUUUUGGUUCUGGUGUAAGAUGUGGUAGAUACACAUGGUUUUGGGACAGUGGUAAUUGGUUUUUGGGAUUUCUUCUGUGUUUUAUGUUAUGGGAUACAGAGUAAAAGAAAUGUGUUAUGUCUUGUGUAUGUUGAUAUGAGACUAUGAGAGUGGUGGUAUGGAGAUCUAUUGCUUUUGAAAGAGGGAAGAGCUGCAAUCUGUGUCACAUGUUUACACAGCUUGUACUCCUAGAUUAUGCCAUUACUUGGAGUUUUUAAUGGGCAUUUGGUUUUGGCGCUAUGUAUUAUUCUGUUUGUCACAUUUACAUUGUUGCUUUAACAGUGGCUUCUGCUGAUGCAAAAUACUAUUUACACGUACACAAUAGGGACAAAGUGGUCUGGUGUAUGGGGGAGUUUCUGAUUUACUUUAUCUCUGAUGUUCUGAUAUUGACUCUCCUGAUAUAGAUAUAGAUCUAUGAACAUGCCUCGGGGCGUGUCGAGGUUUAUGAUUAAGGUUGCUAUGCGAUUUUCUGUAUUGCAAUGCUCUUCAGCUUUCUGUUUAACAUCUCCUAUGAUUUUUAGAAUGUGGUCGUCUGGGAACCAUGUUUACUGGCCUUAGUUUGUAAGAUAGUGAGCCUGUGGUGUGAUAGUCUGGACCAUGUCCGGUGGCCUUAGUUUUUAUGGUAGUGCUCUCUGGUGUGAUAGUCUGGGAACCAUGUCUAGUGGCAAUGUUUUAAGGUAGUGACUACUAGUGAGCUUUCUCGUCUGGUUGGUAACAAUUUUCUUUUUUGGUAUCUGCUCAUUCAUUUGAUUUCAAUUUUUUACUCCCGGACUAUCUAAUUGGGCCUUGUUCUUUUUGGUUGAACUUCAGGACAUUUCAGUCUAGUUCAUUCAGUUUAUUUAUUAUUUAUUAUUUAUUAUUUAUUAUUUAUUAUUUAUUAUUUAUUAUUUAUUAUUUAUUAUUUAUUAUUUAUUAUUUAUUAUUUAUUAUUUAUUAUUUAUUAUUUAUUAUUUAUUAUUUAUUAUUUAUUAUUUAUUAUUUAUUAUUUAUUAUUUAUUAUUUAUUAUUUAUUAUUUAUUAUUUAUUAUUUAUUAUUUAUUAUUUAUUAUUUAUUAUUUAUUAUUUACUAUUUACUAUUUACUAUUUACUAUUUACUAUUUAUUACUCCCUCCUUUCCUAAAUAAGUGUCCAGUUCCCAUAAAUAGCGUUCCUUUAUAAGUGUCCAGUUUCCAUUUUUGGACAUACACCUUUCCCACUUUUCUAUACACUUUUCCUAUCUUUCUAUACACUUUUCCCACUUUUCCACACAAUUUUCCCACUUUUCUAUAAAUCAUUUUUACUUUUUCUUACACAUUCUACAAUUUUUCCACUUUUCUCAAUUACCACAUCCACUUUUAUUUAUGCUUUAUCAAUAAACAAUUAUCUACUUUUUCCUUUCCCGAAAAAAAAAUAUUCCCAAUCAUCUUACUCACAAUUCAGUUUUAUUAAAUUCCGCGUAAAUGUCCAAAGUGGACACUUAUUUAGGAACGGAGGGAUUAUUUAUUAUUUAUUAUUUAUUAUUUAUUAUUUAUUAUUUAUUAUUUAUUAUUUAUUAUUUAUUAUUUAUUAUUUAUUAUUUAUUAUUUAUUAUUUAUUAUUUAUUAUUUAUUAUUUAUUAUUUAUUAUUUAUUAUUUAUUAUUUAUUAUUUAUUAUUUAUUAUUUAUUAUUUAUUAUUUAUUAUUUAUUAUUUAUUAUUUAUUAUUUAUUAUUUAUUACUCCAUUCGUUUUUAAACAAGUGUCCAGUUUUCAUUUUAGGACAUAAACAUUUCCCACUUUUCUAUACACUUUUCCCACUUUUCAACACAUUUUUCCCACUUUUCUACAAAUCAUUAUUAUUAUUUUUUCUUACACAUUCUAUACUUUUCCCACUUUUCAAUCACCACAUCCACUUUUAUUUAUGCUUUAUUAAUAAACAAUUAUCUACUUUUUCCUUUCCCAAAAAAAAACAUUCCCGAUCAUUACCUCUUACACACAAUUCAGUUUUAUUAAAUCUCGCGUAAAUGUCAAAAGUGGACACUUAUUUAUGAACGGAGGGAUUAUUUAUUAUUUAUUAUUUAUUAUUUAUUAUUUAUUAUUUAUUAUUUAUUAUUUAUUAUUUAUUAUUUAUUAUUUAUUAUUUAUUAUUUAUUAUUUAUUAUUUACUAUUUACUAUUUACUAUUUAUUAUUUAUAAUUUAUUACUCCCUCCGUUCCUAAAUAAGUGUCUUAUUCCCAUAAAUAGUGUUCCCAUAUAAGUGUCCAAUUUCCAUUUAAACUUUUCUCACUUUUCUAUACACUUUUUCCACCUUUCUAUACAUUUUUCCCACUUCUAUAAAUCAUUUUUACUUUUUCUUACACAUUCUACCCUUUUCCCACUUUUCAAUCACCACAUCCACUUUUAUUUAUACUUUAUCAAUAAACAAUUAUCUACUUUUUCCUUUCCCAAAAAAAAAACAUUCCCAAUCAUUACCUCUUACACACAAUUCAGUUUUAUUAAAUCCCGCGUAAUUGCGUAAAUGUCCAAAGUGAAAACUUAUUUAGGAACGGAGGGAGUAUUUGUUAUUUAUUAUUUAUUAUUUAUUAUCCAAACAUCAUUCAUCGUUCCACCAUUCACCAUUUCAUCAUCCAUAAUUUAUCGUUAAUCAAUUUCGUCAUCCAUCAUUUCAUUUCAUCACCCAUAAUUCAUCAUUCAUCAUUCACCAUUAAAGAUGGAGAUCUUGUCAAGCGCAUCAUCCAUCAUUUGUCAUAUCAUCAUUCAUCAUUCCCUCAUCCAUCAUUGCCUACUGUUUUAGGGAACAAGUUGUAAAUAAACCUAAUCUACUAAAGAAGAUGAGAAAAUCAUAGCUGAGAGACUUAGGGGCCAAACCAACUGACUGGAAUACAUAUGGUCUCCUUGCUGCUGUAUUAUAUGUUAUGUUUAUCUAACUUAAACUAAUGAAUUGGCUUUUUUUUUGAGAGAGAAAAUCAUAGCUGAGAGAAUUAGGGGCUAAACUAAUGAAUUGACUUGAUCAUAAUAAAUAUGAAGGUAAAACAUUGAGAUCAAGAUUUUUUCAAUUUUUACUUUGGUUCCUAAAAAUAAAGUUGAUGUUGGCGGAGUAAUUAUAGACCUAGGUCAUGAUGCAUCUCUUCAGGCUUUGUGUCUUAGCGACUUAAAGUAAUUUACUGCAGGUAUAUGUAUUUUCAGUUCCUGCAAGUUGCUUCAGUUUUAUGUUGACGCUAUACUCAUGUAUUUUUGUUGGCAUUUGGUCUAUUCCUAGAUUUGCUUUAUAGUCUUGUUGGCUUCACAUGCAUGCAUGCUUGACGUAUAUAUCCUGUUGUCCUCGCUUUGCUUGGUUGAGCUAUUAACCUUCAUGUUAUUGACAAGAGUUCAGAGGUUUCUUGUUGAAUAGGAGGGAUGUUGGACGUUGGUUGGAUUUACACUUUUAAGCCAUUGAUUCAUGGUAUUGUUAAUUUUAUGCUGAUGUAAGUUUAGUUGUGGCAGACAAUGGAGAUUGAGAAAAAGGGUAGCUUACAUAUUUUUUGUUAUUCAAUGCAUGUUUCUUGUAUGGUUUUGAUCUCAUAUAGUUUGUGAUAGAUAGUUUAACUUAUUCUCUUCUUCAGUUAUAUAUAGUGGGGUUGGAAUGUUGGAUUAUGCGUGAGGUCAUAAACAUGCUUCAGGUGAAUCAGGUCCAUGUUUGGUCAAAACUAGUCUUUUCAUGUUUAUUAUAUUUGAUUUGAUAAUGUCUUUUAUUGUUGGCAAAUUUUUUUUAUUCUUGGAUUUACUCCUUGCAUUGUAGAUGUAUGAGCAUUUUUCCACUAUAGGAGUAGGGGUGCUAUAUUCUUUUUCUUGCAUAUAUGUAUGUACGAAGUACUAGUUUUGGACACUAUGAUACUGUGCUUUCUCUCAUGGACCUUACUGAUAUGGUUGCGGGAUUUUCUAGUCACCAGUGAGUAUGAGGUGUCUUCUUUCUGGGAAGUAUAUAUUGUAGUUGUUGCUUGAUCUUGUUCUGGUGAUUUGUGAAUAUUCAGGGAGAUGCCAUAGCUUCAAUUUUGUUGUUUCUGCCAUGACUAGGAUGGGGACAUAUAUGCUGAAGCAUGAUGAGUUUCUCUUCCUUUCUUGUCUUUUAAAAGUGUGCAUACUGUGUUCGUUCGUAAACAUAUAUACCUUCUGUUGCCCACCUUUUAAGUAUACCAUUGGCAUGCUUCAGCUUCAUGGUUUCUUGUUAUGGUUUCAGGGACUAUGGUUCUAGUAUAGUAGUAUAUCUUUGUUUUGAUUAGUGAGUAGAAUAUUUGUAGUUUAUAUCAAUAUGUUGUCCUUUAUUUGGUUGUUUGCCAUUACAAUGAAUUUGUAGGCAUGAAAGUGAAGGGUGGUCUCUUGCCGAUUUGAAAUGUAUCUUUUGUGAGAUAACCUUAGAGUUGGUUAUGUUCUUUUUAUCGUCUAUUCCUUUGGUGGCGUUGGAAAGUUACCUGUUUCUAGUUUUUUGUGGACAUGAAUAUAGAGCUUCUCGUAGUUCAUUGGAAGUUUUCCUUUUGUCUCAAGUUAACCAUGCGUAUUGCAUAUUCCGUUGCAUGCAUGUGAUUGCAGAUUUGUUAUAGGAUCUGCCAACUUCAGAAAAAUUUAAACAUCUAUUAUGUUCCUUGUUUCUUCUUUGUUGGGACUUGUACUGCAGAAAUUAUUUUAUAGACAUUUUUUUUUUAAAGUUUUUAACUCCGCCUGUGAGUGUCACUUUGUGGCAUUUGCUGCCGGUCUCAAGCCCGGGUAAAGGAGGAGAGUUGCAGUAGGUCUGUCGCGACCAGUGUAAAAACUUCUUCCUUCCUGUUAUUGUUAAUGGUAGACUAGUACUGGUUCUUGCUGGGAGUAUGGUUUCAGAACUAGUCUGCAAAGUAUUGUUGUCUGGUGAAUUCAGUAUAUGUGUGGGGUAUAUCCUUGAUAACAAUGUUGUUUGUGCCAUGACAGUUAGAUGGCAAGAUAUUGUCGACUAGGAAGAGGAAGAGUUUUUCAUCCUUUCAUGUCUAUAUAAAAUUUCAUUUUGUGUUUCUAAUCCUUGUUUUUCUUUGAUUGCCUCAUCUUUUUUUGAUGUUGCUACUUCUAGUCUUUUAGUGUACACACUUAGCACGCGACCUGUUUUGUGUUCAUGCUUUCAUCUUAGGGUUUUAUGGGUUGGAAUUUUGUGUUCAUGCUUUCAUCUUAGGGUUUUAUGGGUUGGAAUUUUCUUUGUUUGCGGUUGAGGAGUGGAAUGUCUGACGUAAAUAUCAAUAUGUUGUACUUGUAGCAUCUGUGUAAUAGUUAUUCCGAGUGUUAGAACUUCAUCAAUGUAGUGUAGUUCUCUUUCAUCAAUGUGUUGUACCGUGUGGUAGGUUAACAAAGAUGAUUGAGAGGUUUGCCUUGUUUUAACACUUUCUUCGCAAAGUAUUCUUAUGUUUGUGAAUAUUGACCUGGCAUUAUGUUUUUGGUAGGUUUGUGAGGUACUUAUUAUGUUUGUGAGCCGCCACACAAUAUAUUAUCGUGGAUCGACCUUUCUGAAAAGUUUGUGUUCUGGUUAUUGUUGACGUAGUUAGACAUUUCUGGUUUAUGUUGAUGAUCUCUGUGGACCCCUGCUAUGCUAGAAGGCACAUUAGUGUAUAAAAGAAGCAUCAACGUCCUUAGGCCCGUAAUUGAUUUCUUGUUCAGGGAAAGGGCCGCAUUGUUAUGGGUUGUGACGUGUGGCAUUCUCAAGAAAAGGUAGGUGAGAGCUUUAAUACGUUCCCACCGGAGUUGCGAGUCUUAUGGGCCAUAGCCAUUGUGCGGAUGGGUUGUUCAGAUCCCUCGUAUGGUGAAUAGGAAUUGUCAUGGGUAUUUUUGGGUUUGGUUCUGCAUAUUCUGUCCAAGAAGUCAAAGGGCAACAGGAAGGAGAUGAAGUUGGCAAUGUUGUUCAAGCCUUUCGAGGGAUUAUGUCUUGCUUAUUCUGGAUGAUAGCCUUGAAUAGCGGAUGGAGGACUACACAACAAGUUGUUGCUGCACCCUGAAACAUGAUGUAAAUUUAAGCUAAUUAAUUACUAUGGUUACACAAGUUGGUAACAAAGUAUUUCAUUGGCCAUAAUUGUUCAUCCAAUAUUUUUACUAGUAAUUUUUUUUGCAAAAUUACUGUAACCCUAUUUAUGUGCAUUUUUUAAGUUUAAUAUUUUAAGGUAGGUAUAUUGUUGGGAUCCAUGUAUUACCUCCGUUUUCUAAUAACAUUACAAGUUUUAUUUUGGUAUGUUUCUAAAAAAGGUUAACAAGUACGAUUGAUUCAA